rnacentral:rRNA from 1 species
UACGUAGGGUGCGAGCGUUGUCCGGAUUUAUUGGGCGUAAAGAGCUCGUAGGCGGUUUGUCGCGUCGGCCGUGAAAACCUACAGCUUAACUGUGGGCUUGCGGUCGAUACGGGCAGACUUGAGUUCGGCAGGGGAGACUGGAAUUCCUGGUGUAGCGGUGAAAUGCGCAGAUAUCAGGAGGAACACCGGUGGCGAAGGCGGGUCUCUGGACUGUAACUGACGCUGAGGCACGAAAGCGUGGGGAGCAAACAGGAUUAGAUACCCGGGUAGGUCCCUGA